CUCUAUAUCUGCAGGCACAUCUUUGGUGAAAAGCGGCCGCGCGGAUCUAGAAACAGCGCGGCAUCAGUGCACCUGCUCUCGAGGCUGUCUGGUAUAUAAGAAAAGCGCAAAAGUCCUACCGACAGGAAACACCAUCGAAACUUAGACACAUGGGUUUUUGUGCUUUGAUAUAUUAAUGACGAACCACUUUCCGGCGACUCAGCGUGAUUGACGUCAGUUUGGUUUUCAGAUAUGUAAGGAAGACAGCAUACAGGAACAGAAAGGAGACAGUUUAUGAUUACCCUUGGCUCGUACUUUUGUUGGUGAUUGGGGACUUCAUCGGAACUUUGCUUACUGGCACACCAAUAAAAACCCAAGCAUUAAACCUAUUCCUUUGAAGACUGAAAAUCUAGAGAAUAUGGACUGGAGAAGCUGAUGACUUCAGAAUCCAAGAAGGAGAAGAAGUGUGGAUUUUGUGGAGGUCCCUUCUUUUUCUGUGUCUUUCAUUAUUUCAAAACCUCCAACCUGUUGGCCGGACAGGGAUCCAGAAUUGGUUCCUCCCAGAAAAGACUGUUCCCAAAGUUCUAGUGAUGCAGCCAGUCUGUUUGUGAGAUAAUUGGUCUUUAUCUUAUAGAAAACAUAUGGGUUAAUAGAAAUUAAGCUGGAUUGUUGAUAUUUCAAGAUAUUCCUCAGCAGCAUUCCCAAAUCCAUUCUAUUUUCCCAAGAUGUCCUCAAGAUUUGUAUGUUGUGUGAAUUUUUCGAACUGAUCAUCCCACUGAUUGUUGCUGAUAAUUGUCUAGUCUUAUCCAUCCUUUUAAAUUGUGGUAACUCUGAAAUUAAACCCUUUAUAUAUCUUUUAAAUAUAUAGAUACACACAGUGUAUACACUUAAGGAUACACUUAAUUCCCACACAUGUAGAGAGUGGUGUAUGAUUGCUAGGGUUCUGAUCUUCCCCCUUGCCCAACACCACAUAGCUCCCCAGCAGACCUAAAAUAAAGGAGUUGGGUUGAGGCCACAAAUAUAAAGUAUUUAACUGGAAAGGGAAGGAGAUAAUCAGAGGUAACACUGGCAGUGGAGGAGACUGGCCAAGUGGGGCUCAAGCACCAUGCAGUCAGACGACUUCUUUGUCCGCAAGUUCCGGCAGGGUAAUCGACUACCGUCCCUCACUUCAGCCAGCUUUGACCCCAUGCGGGAUGCUGGCAGAUGCACUGACCCAAGACCCGAGUGGCCCCCUCAGAGAGACGAGGAUGCGAUGGACGUGGGGAACCUGACUCCCAGCCGCGUGGGCUUAAAACCGCGCACGGCAGGCUGGAGCCACGUCAUGCAGAGGAGGAACAGCGAUGUCACCCCGGGGUGCCUGGAUUCCUCAGGGAGGGCUGACAAAAAUGCUGCCCUGGUAGGGAGUGAGAAGGCAGGUUUCGGGGGUGCAGGGGUGCGAGGGACAUUCGGGGCAGGGCUGCACAGAGAGUAUGGAAGUCUGUCCUCCCUGGAGGAACAGACGCAAGACCAAGCUCAGAGCAGCGAGGACCAGUGCCUCCGGAGCCCCGCUGCUCUCCGUUUCAAGGACCCCUUCUUGCUGCUGGGCCUGCCGGCCACUGACCAGCCCGACAACUUCUUCCGCACCUUGUCCGCGCCUGCAGGGGACCUCCCAAAACCAGCCAAACCUCUGAAGCCAGAGCUGCUCAGAAAGAAGGCCAAGCUGAACCUUCCCCAGCAGCCGGGCGGACAUAGUGACAGCCAGGGGGGAUGUGUCUGGGUCCGUAGUCUCGCCCACUACGACGUGCAGAGUAUACUGUUUGACCUGGCAGAGGUGGCAUCCAACCGCGACAGCAUCGGCCGCAAGAAGAACAUCAGCUCUGGGGCUUCUGCUGCCUCCAAGCUCCAGUUUCCAAACCCAGAGGCACCACCUUCCCCCUCCCAGGGCAGGGGCGGGGGCAGCCAGGAGGACGCCGAGCAGUCUCUGGGGCCGCUGGAUGAAGGUGACGGCAAUGACAAUGACAUGCUGCUCAGCUGCCCCCACUUCCGCAACGAGACUGGGGGCGAGGAGCGAGUGGGGCUGGGGCUGGCGCGGGGUCCGGGUGGGAUGACGCUUGGUCCACAGAGCCCCAAUGAUGCUAUUUCCGUUCUGGAGGAACCCCGUGAAAGCCACGUGAAACAGCAGGAAAGGAGCAAGUACUUCAUUGAACACGCCGACCUGGGGGCCCUCUACUACCGCAAAUACUUCUACAAUAAAGGUCACCAGAACUUCUUUGGCAUUGAUGAUCGUUUGGGACCUUUGGCAAUUAGCUUCCGUCGUGAGGAGAAGGAGAACUCCAGCGGUUCUAUGUACAACUACAGAAUCAUCUUCCGAACAACCGAGCUGAAGACCCUGAGGGGGUCUGUUCUGGAGGAGGCGGUGUCCUCGACACCCCGCCAUUCCAACCCCCGUGGCCUUUCUCCCAAGAGGCUCCUGGAGUACAUCUUGCCGGAGCUGAACCUGCACUGCCUGCGCCUGGCCUCCAACUCCCCCAAGGUCCAGGACACCCUGCUGAAACUGGACGAGCAGGGGCUGAACUUCCAGAGGAAAGUGGGGGUGAUGUACUGCAAGGCUGGCCAGAGCUCAGAAGAGGACAUGUACAACAACGAGGGUGCUGGACCGGCCUUUGAGGAGUUCCUGGACCUGCUUGGGGAGCGUGUUCGCCUUCAGGGUUUUGAGAAGUACAGAGCCCAGUUGGACAUCAAGACGGACUCCACUGGCACCCAUUCCCUCUACACGCGUUACCAGGACUACGAGAUCAUGUUCCAUGUGUCCACCAUGCUGCCCUAUACUGCCAAAAACACACAACAGUUACUGCGGAAGAGACACAUUGGCAACGAUAUCGUGACAAUCGUCUUCCAGGAGCCGGGAGCUUUGGCUUUCACUCCUAAAGUUAUUCGCUCCCAUUUCCAGCAUGUCUUCAUCAUUGUCCAGGUCCACAAUCCCUGCACUGACCACACCUACUACAGGGUGGCGGUCACGCGCUCCAGGGACAUUCCGCUCUUCGGGCCUCUGUUCCCGAAGGGGGCGCGCUUCUCCCGCUCCCCGGCCUUCCGGGACUUCCUGCUGGCCAAGGCGGUGAACGCGGAGUGCGCCGCGGAGAAGUCGGAGAAGUUCCGCUCCAUGGCCACGCGCACGCGCCAGGAGUACCUGAAGGACCUGGCGGAGAACUACGUCACCACCACGCCCCUCGAGCCCUCCACCAAGUUCCCCCUGCUCGGCCUGGGCAAGCGCAAAGACAAGCUGAGGGGGGCCAAAGGGGUGGAGCUCCUCAGCGCCGGGGCCCUGGUGUGGACGGUGUCCGCCACGGGGGACGGGGCCGCCGAUCAGAGGCUGCCCUGCCUGCUGGCCGUGUCUUCCGAAUCCGUGGUGCUGAUCGAGAGGGGCACCCACAGCGUGGUGUUCAACUGCUGCUGCCGCAAUGUCAUUGGCUGGAAGGCGGUGCCGGAAGGUGGGACCGGGGGUGGGCGUUACCUGGACAUCUUUUACGACAGGGGGCAGUCCGUGUCCAUCAGCCUGCCCGAUGGCCAAGCAGAGGACGUCCGAGAAGUGGUGCAGAGGCUUGAGACGGUGACGACGGGCUGCGAGGCGUGGGAGCUGACCCCGCUGCGGGACGGGGUGGGUCAGCCGGGCUUCCUGCUGAGCGAGGAGGGCUUCGUGCUGGACGUCCAGCGGUUCGGCUACGCGGAGAACGGGGGCCUGCGGCGGGGCUCCAGGGUGGUGCGCCUCUGCGGCCGGCCCCUGGUCUGCCUGACGCUGGAGGAGAGAGCCGUGCUGAUGCGCACCGCGCCCAAGAUCCAGCUCACCGUCAUCCCCCCCGACAAGGACGGCAAGCCCCGCAGGAGUUUCUUAGAGCUGUACCAGAAAGCCAACCAAGACGUGGAAUGCAAGGUGGGGGAGGGGCCGUCGGGAGAGGCCUGGGUGAUUGAUGAGACGGAUGAGGAGGCCGAAGGGGAGAGAGAGCAGGGCGAGGGCACGGAGGCGGUGCCAGGGGGAGAGGAGAAAACCAGAGCAGAAUUUGGGUGCAAGAACUCGCUGCUGCCCCCUUCUGGCCCAGCCCUACUUCGGGCCGCCUCCCUGCAGGACGACCCCCCGGGUGCGCCUGCCAAAAUCGCGGCGCCCUCGCUGGCGCGCUGUCACUCCAUCGAGACCGGUCAGAACUCCGUUGACGGGCACAUUUACGACAACCGUGCGGCACGCAGCUGCAUCUACGAGAAUGUGUGGGAGAUGCAUAAUGCCACGCCCGAUCUUAUCCCUGCGCUGAACCCCAAGGUCCCCGUCGAGGAUGAGGAGCUACAGAAACAGUUUGUGGGUGUGGAACUGAGUAAGGAGCAGCCCUUGGCCAGUGACCCCUUCCAGCAGUCGACUCCUCCCGCCUGCCUGGACAGGGCAGACAGGAGCUCCAGAGCUCUAAGUAUCCAGAAGUCUAUCACCAGGAUCUUGACAGAGAAUGCAGAUUCCACCGAGGAGGAAUGGCGGUCCAUCACCGAGCUGAGCAGCACCUGCCGUGGUCUCCUGGAGGCCCUGUCUCAAGAAGACCGUAAGCUUGGAGAAGAAAAGCUGGCUGCUGGGGACUGCCCUGCCUUGGUGGGAAGCACAGACUCCAAGCUGAGUCAGCUUCAAGACAGUGACUCUUCUGGCCAUCUGGAGGAGAAGGUGUCCCAGCUGGAAUUCAUGCUGAAGAAGUUGCAGGAUGACCUACAGAAGGGGAGGAUCCCAGUGUUGACCGAUUCGGAGACUCUGAGAGACCUGAACAAAGAUUUCCUGUUGUUGCCGGGUGACCACUGUACACCGGGCUUCAGUUACUCCCAAACCCAAUGCGGAACGUCGCGUAGCGAAACAUCUGACCUGCAGGCUUCCAGUGAGAUCUAAGGCCCUCAAAUAGGUCAGAGUGCGUUGCCUUAUAACAUGCCUGCAGGGAGCUGCAGUCAUCCUCUGCAAAUGGCGUCUGCACUCUUCCUUUGGCUUGCCCAUUAGCUCAGUAUUAUCAUCAGUCCUGUAAAAUACAGCACCUGACAUUUAGCCAACAUCCUGCGUAGCAUCACCUUCAAGAUCUGAGCUACCAAGAAACAAAGCAAAAGACAGAUCACCUCCAAAAGAUUAGUCAUUUUACCUGCUGUUUCCAUCCAUUUAAUAAAGUGCUAGGACAGAAAGAAUGAUUGUUUAUGCAAUAUCCUGCAAGCAGACAGACAAAAGGAUAGAUAGAUAGAUACAUAGAUACAUAGAUAGAUAGAAUACUUUAUUGGGUAGUCUGUCUUCCCAACAAUAAGUGAACGCACAACACUUCCAAAACCAUACAGUUUCAAACAUCGAGAAAGAUGGAUAGAUAGAUACUGAAAAUGGAAGUAUUAAAGGAACAGUUCUUCGGCGAGAGAGUCGGGGCUCAAGCUCGGUCUUUCUUCCUCGCGUGCUGAAUGCAGAGGGAUAAAUAAUGCAAAUGAGCAUCUGAAGCAGAAUGUCAUACGGCACUCUCGCAACGCGCUCCGUGAUUGAUGAUAAUACCAGGCCAGGCCGCUCCUCCAUCCAUCAUUAACUGCCUCUUUACAAUAACCGACGGCGACGCGCAGCCACUCUCCUCCCGCCGUCCCUGCAAACGCAUUUAUUAUUCCUGCCGUUGCCGCGGCAGCGUUAUUAACCCCCGUGCCCUCUCCCCUCCCCCCCCCCCCCGCCCGAUAUACACCCAUGUCGAGGGACACCUGCAUUAAUAGCAGAUUCCCUUUCACGUGCGGGAAAUAUUUCUGCGUCGUCACAUAAAAACUGUAAGAUACGCCUUGCGAUGUAUAUUUUGUUGACGUCGCCCGGGCGCUGUGAGACGCUAGCCUUUUGCUCCGUGGCGGCACACGCCUGGGAAUCCCCUCUGGUCCAGGAGGCUUUCAGCACAACUUGUAGCCAAAGGCUACGCAAAAGCACUCCAGUCAAACGCUGGACUGUGUGUAUUUCUGACAUAGUUAUAAUUGGUAACCUAAUUUCAUUUUAAUAAGGGCACCAAGCCUGCGGUUCUGCUGGGUUAAUGGGUGCAUCAGAGCCUUGAUCUGAUAAAAUUCGUAGAGGAGUUGUGGGUUUACAGUGGAGGAGAGAAGAGAGUGUGAGGCAUUUCAUGGCAUGAAGCUUUUAAAAUCUGACACGUCUACACAUGCAGUCAUUUUCAGGUCUAAAAUAAUUUGUCCAUCCUAACCACCUCUGUCUCUAAAACCUGUGACUGAUUCUUUUUUCAUUAUUGUCUGGCUCAUUCAUCCUUCUUAUACUGCAGAAGAUUUUGCCACAGGAAUAACCAUAGAAAUAGGCAUAAAAUGUCUAUACACUGUUCAUGUAGAAGUGUGAUUUUGAACCAGCCCACUGAUUUUUACCCUGAUCCCAAGCACUCUUUGCGGGAAUGAUCAGUCCUACUACAUGUGUGUUAGAGGAUCCAGUCUUGAAACACAGACUUUACGCUUAAUUUAAUUACCAUAUGAAUCAAUACUUUGUUUGCAGUUGUCAAAGUAAUCUAUGAGUGGGACAUCAGGACAACAGCAAAAGUCUUUACAGUGGGAAUCAGAUGAACAAUCUUUUGAAAGGCAAGGUGACUGUGGCAAAAUCUUUCACAAUUGUCUCAUUCUUUGUCUUCUGUUAUUUUGGGAUAAGACUCUAGCUUGAUGGACAGAAUGUACAAAUUGCAAUGUCAAGUGUUUAAAAUAAGAGGACAAUUAUACUGAGGACUUGAGUGCAGCAGGUGGUUUGAAGUGGAAAGAGGAUCGACUGAGUGUGUGCGCUGAUGUGAGUUUAUAUUGCUGGGUGUGAUGUGUGUGUGUGGGUUUGUGUGAUGUCUUAGAUGGGUGUGUGUGUGUGUGUGUGUGUGUUUGCGUGCGUGCAUGUGUGUGUGGUGUGUGUACGUGUGAGCCUGUUUGAAUGCAUGCGUGGGUGUGUGAGAAUGCGUUUGUGCGUGCGUGUAGCCAUGUGUGUGUGUGUGCGUGUGUCUGUGUCUGUGUGCGUGUGUGUAUGUGUGGGUGCGUGUGUACAUGUCUGUGCUUGUGUGUGCAUGUGAGUUUGCAUGUGGGACAUGUGUGUGCGUGUGUGCAUGUGUGUGGGUUUGUGUGUGUGCGUGCGUGCAUGUGUGUGUGUGUGUACGUGUCUGCGUGUGUGUGUGUGUGUGUGUGAGUGUACGUGUGGUUGCUUGUGUGUGUGUGUGUUUGCGUGCGUGUGUGUGGUAUGUGUACGUGUGAGCCUGUUUGAAUGCAUGCGUGGGUGUGUGAGAAUGCGUUUGUGCGUGCAUGUAGCCAUGUGUGAGUGUGUGUGUGUGUGAGUUUACGUGUGGUUGCGUGCGUGUGUGUGGGUUUGUGUGUGUGUGUGUGCGUGCAUGUGUGUGUGUGUGUAUGUGUACGUGUCUGAGUGUGUGUGUGUGUGUGAGUUUUACGUGUGGUUACUUGUGUGUGUGUGUGUUUGCGUGCGUGCAUGUGUGUGUGUGAGUUUACAUGUGGUUGCGUGUGUGUGGUAUGUGUACGUGUGAGCCUGUUUGAAUGCAUGCGUGGGUGUGUGAGAAUGCGUUUGUGCGUGCGUGUAGCCAUGUGUGAGUGUGUGUGUGCAUGCAUUUGUGUGUGUUUGUGUUUGCGUGCGUGCAUGUGUGUGUGGUGUGUGUGCAUGUGAGCCUGUUUGAAUGCAUGCGUGGGUGUGUGAGUUUGCAUGUGGGUGCAUGUGUGUGUGAGUAUAUGUGUGUGCAUGUGUGUGGGUUUGUGUGUGUGCGUGCGUGCAUGUGUGUGUGUGUGUGUGUACGUGUCUGCGUGUGUGUGUGUGAGUUUGCGUGUGGUUGCUUGUGUGUGUGAGCAUGCGUGUGUGCGUGUAGGUGCGUGUGUGUGUGUGUAUAUGUGUGGGCGUGUGUGCAUGUGUGUGGGUUUGUGUGUGCGCGUGCAUGCAUGUGUGUGCGUGUGUACGUGUCUGUGUGUGUGUGUGUGUGUGUGUGUGAGUUUGCGUGCGUUCAUGUGGGUGCGGGUGUGUGUGUGUGCGUGUGUGCAUGUGGGUGUGUGUGAGUUUGCGUGUGGUUGCUUGUGUGUGUGAGCAUGCGUGCGUGCAUGUGUGUGUGUGUGUGUGUGUGUGGUUGCUUGUGUGUGUGAGCAUGCGUGUGUGCAUGUGGGUGUGGGUGUGUGUGUGUGUGAGCAUGCGUGUGUGCAUGUGGGUGUGGGUGUGUGUGUGAGCAUGUUAGCUCUUGCACACCGUCAGCGUGCGGCAGGCCCUCCUCUCUCCACCUCACUAACCCGCUCCUUCCCUUCCUCUCGCGGACGGCGCCAGGAGAAGAAGGACAAGGCGGUGCUGCAGGCCGAGGUUCAGAGCCUCAGGCAGAACAACGAGCGGCUGCAGGAGGAGUCCCAGAGCACCGUGGCCCGGCUCAUCAAGGUCACUGAGCUGCUGUGCAAAAUCAACAAGCCCUGCUAG